rnacentral:lncRNA from 1 species
GUGAACCUUGUACUUUAUAUUUAUUUAUCAAAAUGCUUAUUAGUUUAUGGUAAGUAAGUAAGUAUUGUAAGUGAUUAUUUAUUAUAGUGACUUGUGUAAUUACCAUGAUUACAGUAGUCAUGGUAGUGUGUCAAUUUACUGGUAAUACAAUCAUCUUUAUCUUGUAAGGAUGGAUUAUUUAUUUGCCCAUAUCCAUUGCCCUUUUAUGCCUUUGUGCUACCCCUGGAUGAAAUUUAAGAAAUAUACUUAGAUGGUCAAUAGACUGUAUAACCCCAGGUUUAAUUUGACAAAAUUCUAUAAACAAUGAUAUACCAUAAAAAUGUAUGCCGUCUGAGGUUAAAAUAUAUAUAUGCUUUUUAUUCCUGUUAUUCUUUUUCUAUGUUUUGUGUGCAUUGUACCAUUAAGCC